rnacentral:lncRNA from 1 species
CGGUAACCACCACGCCGCUGCUGUGGCUCCGGUGGUGCCACCGUCGGUCGAUCCUCCCCCCCUCUCUUCGUUUCUGUCUCUCUGUCUUCGCCGCUACAGCAGUGCGCCGCCACCAUCACGGUGGUCGGCCUGUCAUACAAAAAAAAAGGGGGGUGUGAGGGUUGCAAUAUUUCGAGAAAGAAAGGGUGUUUGCCGUCGGGUUACACGACGCCGGAGCGCCAGACGUGAGAGACGAGAGGGGAAGCACAGGGUGUGGUGCGACUGUGUUGUGUGAAGGGGAUGAGGUUCUAAUCUAUUUGUUUGUGUAUGUUAGAUUAGGGUUUGUGGAUAAAGAGGAUUUGGGAAGGAAAUGCAACGAACGGCUGAAGCCAAACAUGCCAGAGAAAGAUAGAUCUUCACAGAUCUUAAAGAAAAGAGAAGAAAGGAUGGGUUGGGGAUGUUACCGGUGUGAUUGUGACUGAUGGAGCCCUCACCGUCGCACGUCGCCGGAAAAACAGGCGGUAACCACCACGCCG